rnacentral:misc_RNA from 1 species
GUGACAUUCAAGAGCAACCUUCAUAAGGAUGGAAAAUUGUUGAAAUUUAGAUGGAUAGAAAAGAUAGGAGAAAAGAACCAGAGAAGGAUUUACAUAGAUCAGCUACGGAGACCUACACCCAUUGGCAAAAACCUCAAAGAGUUACGUUUCAUUCACUAGUGUUGUGUGUUUUACAUAAUCCGUAAAACUCCAUACUUAUAAUGGAAGAUACAUGACAUAUAUAGAAUGCCAUCAAUCAUAAGCCAGUCCUAAGAUUUUGUUAAUCAAUCUCAUGAUUUUCUUAUAAUCAUGAGAUUUUUCAAUUAGACAUACCCUACGCGUUAAGAAAAAAUUUCAUCAAUUCCAAUACUCCCCCACAAUGAGAUUUUUGCUAAAGGCAUGAAUUCAUCAUCAAGCUCUGGUGUUUUUUUUUUUUAAUAUAUCAUCUCUUCCCUUUUUUUUUUAAUUGUUUCUUUUUUUUUUAUUUUUAAUUUGUCUCCCUCUCUCUCUCGUUUUUGGUUUUGUUUCUUUUCUUAAGAAACAAAGGAGAAAAUUUGAAGAAAUAAAGUAGGGACUUCAAUGCCUUGGCUUUGAGGAAGAAAAACAAAGUAGGGACUUCAACCCUUGAUUCUAAUGAAGGAAAAGAACAAAGUAGGGACUUCAACCCUUGAUUCUAAUGAAGGAAAAG